rnacentral:rRNA from 1 species
GACGAACGCUGGCGGCGUGCUUAACACAUGCAAGUCGAACGGAAAGGCCUGCUUUCCCUUGUGGAUUGCGGGUACUCGAGUGGCGAACGGGUGAGUAACACGUGAGUGAUCUGCCCCCAACUUGGGUAUAAGCCUGGGAAACUGGGUCUAAUUCCCGAUAGGACUGCAGGGUGGUGCCUGUGGUGGAAAACGAUUUUCUAGUGGUUGGGGAUGAGCUCGCGGCCUAUCAGCUUGUUGGUGGGGUAAUGGCCUACCAAGGCGGCGACGGGUAGCCGGCCUGAGAGGGUGGACGGCCACAUUGGGACUGAGAUACGGCCCAGACUCCUACGGGAGGCAGCAGUGGGGAAUAUUGCACAAUGGGCGGAAGCCUGAUGCAGCGACGCCGCGUGGGGAAUGACGGCCUUCGGGUUGUAAACUCCUUUCGACCGCGAGGAAGCCACCUGGUUGGAAGGGUGGUGACGGUAGUGGUAGAAGAAGCACCGGCUAACUACGUG